UACGAGGGGUGCGAGCGUUGCUCGGAAUUAUUGGGCGUAAAGGGUAGGUAGGUGGUCUCAUUUGUCUGGGGGUGAAAGCCUUGAGCUUAACUCAAGAAGUGCCCUAGAAACGGUGAGACUAGAGUUCUGGAGAGGGUCGUGGAAUUCCCGGUGUAGCGGUGAAAUGCGUAGAGAUCGGGAGGAACACCAGCGGCGAAGGCGGCGACCUGGACAGAUACUGACACUCAACUACGAAAGCGUGGGGAGCAAACAGG
rnacentral:rRNA from 1 species